rnacentral:lncRNA from 1 species
GGGCUGGUUGUUAGCACUUAGCAUGGCUUUGUUGGAUUUGGAGCAUUUCCCUGAGAAGAAGAUGACGCAAGUUGGAAAAGAACAUCUUGGGAAACCAAAACCUACUACCUGUUUGUCUUGGGACAGAGUAGUGUGGGAAUAGAUCUAAGCUUAGUACUAGUAGUAGCUGUGUCAUAUCAUAUGCAUGCAAUUACACUUUUGGAUAACAUACCUAAAAACAUGUCACGACCAUGUUUAAUGUUGUGUUGUGAUGUGAUUAAUUAGUGGUACUUAUAUGGGAAUCGCGUUGGAUUCACGUUAUUCAACAAAACCAAUUUAUUUUUGCAUAUAUAUAGUCAUUUAGUAGGUGGUAUUGGAGCAACCCACAUUUCCUUUGCUAUUUUUAUAUGCUAUAGCUAUACUCUUUGAUACUACUAGUAGUGAAAAAAAAAUGCUCUUCAAGUCAUUAUUGUAAUGGUUGAGGGACUUCCACUCACUUGUUUCACAUUGCUUUGUUAAGCUUGGUUUAGCAUUUCCCUCUACAUUUCUUAAUUGGU